AAUCUGCCCUUGGGUUCGGGAUAACCGUUGGAAACGACGGCUAAUACCGGAUGAUGACGUAAGUCCAAAGAUUUAUCGCCCAGGGAUGAGCCCGCGUCCGAUUAGGUAGUUGGUGGGGUAAAGGCCUACCAAGCCGACGAUCGGUAGCUGGUCUGAGAGGAUGAUCAGCCACACUGGGACUGAGACACGGCCCAGACUCCUACGGGAGGCAGCAGUGGGGAAUAUUGGACAAUGGGCGAAAGCCUGAUCCAGCAAUGCCGCGUGAGUGAUGAAGGCCUUAGGGUUGUAAAGCUCUUUUACCCGGGAUGAUAAUGACAGUACCGGGAGAAUAAGCCCCGGCUAACUCCGUGCCAGCAGCCGCGGUAAUACGGAGGGGGCUAGCGUUGUUCGGAAUUACUGGGCGUAAAGCGCACGUAGGCGGCUUUGUAAGU
rnacentral:rRNA from 1 species